AGAGUUUGAUCAUGGCUCAGAACGAACGCUGGCGGCACGCCUCAUACAUGCAAGUCGAGCGAUUAAAGCCCCUUCGGGGGUGUAUAAAGCGGCGAACGGGUGAGUAACAGGUGGGUAACCUGCCUUUUGGUGUGGGACAACAGCUGGAAACGGCUGCUAAUACCGCAUGUGAUUGCGCGCUCAUGGCGCGCAAGGAAAGACGCUUCACGGCGUCGCCAUAAGAUGGGCCCGCCCCCCAUUAGCUAGUUGGUGAGAUAACAGCCCACCAAGGCUUCGAUGGGUAGCCGAGCUGAGAGGUUGAUCGGCCACACUGGAACUGAGAUACGGUCCAGACACCUACGGGUGGCAGCAGUAGGGAAUAUUGCGCAAUGGGCGAAAGCCUGACGCAGCGAUGCCGCGUGAGUGAAGAAGGUCCUAGGAUUGUAAAGCUCUUUUCUGAGGGAAGAAUGGCCGGAGCAGGAAAUGGCUCUGGUUUGACGGUACCUCAGGAAUAAGGAACGGCUAACUCCGUGCCAGCAGCCGCGGUAAUACGGAGGUUCCAAGCGUUGUUCGGAAUUACUGGGCGUAAAGGGAGCGCAGGCGGACAGCUUAGUCUAAAGUGGAAUCCCAGGGCUCAACCCUGGACGUGCUUUGGAUACUGGCUGUCUUGAGUUCGUGAGAGGAAAGUGGAAUUCAGGGUGUAGCGGUGAAAUGCUUAGAUAUCCUGAGGAACACCAGUGGCGAAAGCGACUUUCUGGCACGUAACUGACGCUGAGGCUCGAAAGCAUGGGUAGCGAACGGGAUUAGAUACCCUAGUAGUCC
rnacentral:rRNA from 1 species